GACCCACUAACCCCACGGUUCCCACUCAUCUCCCUCAAUCCCGACCACCCCACGCGCGCCCCGCCGCAUCCCAUCUUCAGCGACGCGCUGUGCCCCUGCCUCCCACCUCCGGCUUCGCGCCGCGCCCCCUGCUUCUAACCUCCGGCGAUGCGUCGUGCCCCUGCCUCCCUCAUCCGGUGACCCGCCACACCCCGGGGGGACUCCCUCCCCGGCGACGCGCCGCCGCCCGGCCUCCUCCCCAGCGCGCCACCGCCGGCUUCCUCCAUGGUGACGCGCCAUCGCCCGGCCUCCUCCCCAGCGCGCCACCGCCCGGCUCCUCCCGGCGACGCGCCUCCAAACUCCCUCUUUCCCCGCCAAUGUACACUGCAUGACCCGUGUGCCCGGCUGCCGCAUACGAGGUUGUGCACCGGCCCAACCAUCUCCGUCUGGAUCCCCCGCCUCCCACCGUGGCUCCUCGCCGCCACCAUGGGAUCCCAGCCGACAGCUUCCCCCCGAGCGCCCCGUGCCCGGCUGCCUCGCUUCCAUCACCAGUCUUCGCCCCUCCACCAUGCCUCCUCCCACAACCCCGAUCCAGUUCCAGCGACCUCCACCAGGAAGCACGUCGGUCUCGCCGUGGUCACAUCGGCAGUCCAACUGGUCGAUCCGUGGCCGGUCGCUCAAUGUGCUGCGUAUAGGCCACCCCGUGCUCCACCCAUGGGCCUGGCUCAGCUUUCUUCCUCCCAUGCUAUCUCUCAUCUGCCUACUUGUCCUGCUCUGUUCCAUCUCCUGAACUGUUGAUUAUGCAUCAACUCUCGCGUUAUGUGGUGUUCUUGCUCCCUCUCUCGUAGCUACAGAAUUCAUAAACUGCCAAUUUAUUUUGAAUUGAACUGAUGUUGCUCUUGAAUCAGACCUUCAAUGAUCCGGUAGCCGGCGUCUGUCCUACUCCAUCUCCUUUGGUCUUUUUCUAGUUUGAGACAGUGAGAGCCGCCUAGGACGACUCGUCGGGGACCAAGCUGCACCAUCGAGAGCCUCGACAAGUACGUCUUCCUACCAGCCCCCGAUGGUAGUUUUCUCCACCGUGAGAAGCCCAACAAGAUGAACCGUACACGCGAGGAACCUCCCGAGCGUACCAACUCCUCCGUCCAAGUCAAGCGCUGGGCGCCGUCCAGGUCGAGCACUGGGUGCUGUCCAAGUUGAGUCAUCCAACAGCGGGGAGCGAGCUUUACUCCGGGGCAGCCCAUCCUAGACGCGCAGCUGCUCUGCUCUCCACAUGAAUUUAGAUUGGAUUGGGUUGUAGUGCAUGUUAGGCUCUAUUGAUCUCCGUCCAUGAGUGGUGCUACCUCGAGUCCGGUCGAUGGCGUCCACGAGCACGAGCAGCCCGUAUCCGGCGGCAAGAUGAAGGUUACCCAUGAACCAUGCUUCCCCUAAUCACCUCCACCUUGUGCGAAUUCGUAGCUGAGAAUAAGCACAAGCACCUACAGUCCCCCGGUGGCUUUGGCCGCACUUGGCCACUAGCUCGUCCAUCAUGGUGACUGGCAGCCGUCCAAGUGGAAUGCGGACAUCAGUCCAUGGAGAACUAGUUUGUAUAAACUGCUGUUAUGUAUAAUUAGGGGAUCCAAUGUUGAAAAGUUCAAUUAAGCUAUUUUUUGUAUAUAUGGAAGAUUACUCUACAAAAAAUAGCUCAGAACAAACA